GACGAACGCUGGCGGCGUGCUUAACACAUGCAAGUCGAACGGAAAGGCCCUGCUUUUGUGGGGUGCUCGAGUGGCGAACGGGUGAGUAACACGUGAGUAACCUGCUCUUGACUUUGGGAUAACUUAAGGAAACUGGGGCUAAUACCGGAUAGGAGCUCCUGCUGCAUGGUGGGGGUUGGAAAGUUUCGGCGGUUGGGGAUGGACUCGCGGCUUAUCAGCUUGUUGGUGGGGUAGGGGCUUACCAAGGCUUUGACGGGUAGCCGGCCUGGGUGGGGGACCGGCCACAUUGGGCCUGAGAGACGGCCCAGACGCCUACAGGGGGCAGCAGGGGGGAAUAUUGCACAAUGGUCGGAAGCCGGAGGCAGCAACGCCGCGGUCGGGAUGACGGCCUUCGGGUUGUAAACCGCUUUCGCCUGUGACGAAGCGUGAGUGACGGUAAUGGAUAAAGAAGCACCGGCUAACUACGUG
rnacentral:rRNA from 1 species